GCAGUCUGGGCGCGAUAGAUGUUCUCUGGUUUGACGAGUAGAGUCUUCUGAGCAGUGUACACAUUUGGGUUCGUGUAUGACUGUGACAAUUUAAAGCCAGCAUGGGUCGGCGCUCAUCUGACAGUGAGGAUGACAGUCGGAGCAGGAGGAAGAGAAAACAACGGCGACGUUCCUCCUCCUCUUCCUCUUCUUCGUCUUCAUCGUCUGGUAGCAGGGUGAUCAGCAGCCGGAGCCGGAGGUCCAGUCGUCGGAGCCGGUCUCGCUCCAGAGACAGAGACAGAGACAGAGACAGGAGGAGAAGACGACGUUCCAGCAGCAGCUCAUCCCACAGUUCGUCUCGCAGGAGGAGGAGUCGCAGUGCAGACAGAGACAAAGGGAGGAGCCACCGCUCACACAGGUCACGCAGCCGAGACAGGAGGUAACGACAUCACAGACACGUCCAGGGGCGCAUUCAUGUUCAUGCUGCACAAAUGGACGUUUGCAUUUGGUCAUGUAUUGGCCAGUCACCAACAC